rnacentral:misc_RNA from 1 species
GAUGAAGAACGCAGCGAAAUGCGAUAAGUAAUGUGAAUUGCAGAAUUCCGUGAAUCAUCGAAUCUUUGAACGCACAUUGCGCCCGGCAGUAAUCUGCCGGGCAUGCCUGUCCGAGCGUCAUUUCUGCCCUCGAGCGAGUCCAGCAUCUAGGUGCUGGGCCCGCCCGGCGUUGGGGCACUACGGGAAGCCCUGUGCUGUCCCCCGUAGGCCCCGAAAUGAAGUGGCGGUCCUGCCGCGGCGCCCCCUGCGUAGUAUAACAGCUCGCUUCGGGACCCGGUGGAGGCCUGCCGUCAAACCUUACUCUCUAAGUUUGACCUCGGAUCAGGUAGGGUUACCCGCUGAACUUAAGCAUAUCAAUAAGCGGAGGA